UAUGUGAUCGUCUCUCGCAUAUCAAUAAGCGGAGGAAAAGAAACUAACAAGGAUUCCCCUAGUAACGGCGAGUGAAGCGGGAAGAGCUCAAAUUUGAAAUCUUAAAGGGUUUCCCUUUACGAAUUGUAGUUUAAAGAAGUGUUUUCUGUUGAGGUUUUGGUAAAAGUUCUUUGGAAUAGGACAUCAUAGAGGGUGAGAAUCCCGUAUUUGACCUUUACUUUCAACUUUGUGAUACACUUUCAAAGAGUCGGAUUGUUUGGGAAUGCAGUCCAAAAUGGGUGGUAAAUUUCAUCUAAAGCUAAAUAUUGGCGAGAGACCGAUAGCGAACAAGUACCGUGAGGGAAAGAUGAAAAGGAACUUUGAAAAGAGAGUUAAACAGUACGUGAAAUUGUCAAAAGGGAAGCGUUUGACACCAGUGUUGUUUUUCUGAAAAUCAAUUAAAGAACUGUUUAUGCUAAGUUGUUUAGACUUUAUCAGCUAACUGUUUAGUUUUGAGCUUUUCUUUAAUGCACUUUUCAGUUAACAAGUCAACAUCAAUUUCUUUUGCUGUAAAAAAGCUUGAGGAAGGUGGCUUGAGAUUCGUCUUAAGUGUUUAUAGCCUCUUGCCUAUGCAGUCGGAGAGAUUGAGGUCUGCAGCGUAGAUCCUUCGGGGCUAAAUGCAUUUGUGCUGAGUUAUAGCAUUUUAUAGACAACUUGUUGACUAUGAUUUGUCUUGUAGCUUACUCGCUUAUGUUAUUUUACCUACGCUUAGGAUGUUGAUCUGUAGUGCGUGCGC
rnacentral:rRNA from 1 species